rnacentral:rRNA from 1 species
GUGGGGAAUCUUCCGCAAUGGACGAAAGUCUGACGGAGCAACGCCGCGUGAGUGAUGAAGGUCUUCGGAUUGUAAAGCUCUGUUAAUCGGGACGAAAGGGCCUAGUGUGAAUAAUGCUAGGAAGUGACGGUACCGGAAUAGAAAGCCACGGCUAACUACGUGCCAGCAGCCGCGGUAAUACGUAGGUGGCAAGCGUUGUCCGGAAUUAUUGGGCGUAAAGCGCGCGCAGGCGGAUCUGCCAGUCUGUCUUAAAAGUUCGGGGCUUAACCCCGUAAUGGGAUGGAAACUACAGAUCUAGAGUAUCGGAGAGGAAAGUGGAAUUCCUAGUGUAGCGGUGAAAUGCGUAGAUAUUAGGAAGAACACCAGUGGCGAAGGCGACUUUCUGGACGAAAACUGACGCUGAGGCGCGAAAGCCAGGGGAGCGAACGGGAUUAGAUACCCUAGUAGUCC